rnacentral:rRNA from 1 species
UACGGGGGGCAAGCGUUGUUCGGAAUUACUGGGCGUAAAGGGCUCGUAGGCGGCCAACUAAGUCGGAUGUGAAAUCCCCAGGCUCAACUUGGGAACUGCAUCCGAUACUGGAUGGCUUGAAUUCGGGAGAGGGAUGCAGAAUUCCAGGUGUAGCGGUGAAAUGCGUAGAUAUCUGGAGGAAUACCGGUGGCGAAGGCGGUUCUCUGGGACGGUACUGACGCUGAGACGCGAAAGCGUGGGGAGCGAACAGG